rnacentral:rRNA from 1 species
AGUGGCGGACGGGUGAGUAACGCGUGAGAAUCUGCCUUGGGGUCGGGGACAACCACUGGAAACGGUGGCUAAUACCGGAUAAGCCGAUUGGUGAAAGAUUUAUUGCCCGAAGAGGAGCUCGCGUCUGAUUAGCUAGUUGGUGAGGUAAGAGCUCACCAAGGCAGCGAUCAGUAGCUGGUCUGAGAGGACGAUCAGCCACACUGGGACUGAGACACGGCCCAGACUCCUACGGGAGGCAGCAGUGGGGAAUUUUCCGCAAUGGGCGAAAGCCUGACGGAGCAAGACCGCGUGAGGGAGGAAGGCUCUUGGGUUGUAAACCUCUUUUCUCAGGGAAGAAGCUCUGACGGUACCUGAGGAAUCAGCCUCGGCUAACUCCGUGCCAGCAGCCGCGGUAAUACGGAGGAGGCAAGCGUUAUCCGGAAUUAUUGGGCGUAAAGCGUCCGCAGGUGGCGAUUCAAGUCUGCUGUCAAAGCACGGGGCUUAACUCCGUAAAGGCAGUGGUAACUGAAUAGCUAGAGUGCCGUAGGGGUAGAGGGAAUUCCCGGUGUAGCGGUGAAAUGCGUAGAGAUCGGGAAGAACAUCGGUGGCGAAAGCGCUCUACUGGACGGCAACUGACACUCAGGGACGAAAGCUAGGGGAGCGAAUGGGAUUAGAUACCCC